UACGUAGGGUGCAAGCGUUGCCCGGAUUUAUUGGGCGUAAAGGGCGCGCAGGCGGCUACGCACGUCCGUUGUGAAAUCGCUCGGCUCAACUGGGCGGGGUCGGCGGAUACGGCGUAGCUGGAGCAAGCUAGGGGGCAAUGGAAUUCCCGGUGUAGUGGUGGAAUGCGUAGAUAUCGGGAGGAACACCGGUGGCGAAGGCGGUUCUCUGGGCCUUACCUGACGCUGAGGAGCGAAAGCGUGGGGAGCGAACAGG
rnacentral:rRNA from 1 species